rfam:Ipomoea nil DNA, scaffold: scaffold0276, cultivar: Tokyo-kokei standard.
UAACCAUGAUGGGGGAAUUGAAUGAGCAACAUCUUGAACCUUUCCCAUGCCUCAUGGAACGGUUCGCCCUCAACUUGCGAGAAAGUUGCAAUUUUCCUUCUUAAUUC